UGCUGUCACUUUUGGAGGAUAAGAUAGAAAAACCUCUUGGCCUCUUAUAAACCCCGAGCCCUGCUACCCAGUGCUCCCCGGUCUACUAGUGGCUGAACCCCAUUGUCCUGCACCAGGGUCAGGCCAUUUCCAGUGGUUACCACCCCCUGUGAGGCAGUCGGUGCCUAACCUGGCACUAUGACUUGCUGAGUCCUGCUUCCUUGGGCGUCAAGGGGGAUAAUGGUGUUAAUCACCUCCCAGGUUGUUUGAGGCUGAAGCUAAUUGCCGGUGAAAGCACUUGCUGUGCCACACGACGCUGAAUCCUGUUUUGGACAACAACUCUCCAGAUUUCAGUGGUUUGUCUCUGUAUUAGCCACUGAGUCUACAAGGACAGGUAGUGUGCUCUGCUGCCCCUGUGCCCGCCACAUAACAGGAUGGGGAGAAGUGGGACCUCCAGCCCCUGUGGUGCCGUGGCCUCAAGGCUGCCAGCCUAACCUCCCUCCGUGGGUCACUUCAUCCCAGGAAAACAGGCCAUCAUCCUGGCCCCACCUUCCUCCCUCCUGGUGCUAUGUAAGUUGCAGGUCGCCUCUGGUUGUGCUAUGCAGGACGCUGCCUCAGCAUGGCCUGAUGAACGGUGCUAUUUCCCUGCCCAGGAUCUCAAUUGGCGAAAUUCCGGGCCGUCGAAGUGGAGUGCGUGAACUGAACCACUUGGCCGCGGGGCCGGCUCCCUUUUAAUGAAUUAUUUAUGUCAUUUUGCCAGAAUUGAAUUCUGUGCUGUGGUCAGUCAUCUUUUCCAAAUGGUAUGUUUUUCAGGACGCAACAAGAUUUUAGGCAUUUAAAUUUGUUCCCUCUGUGCAUAGGGCUGGGCAAACACAACUGUUUCCCAUUAACUCAGCCACUCUGAGGCCUCCCUUCUCUCUGGUUUGGGCUGGAGAAGAAGCACAAGCAAGCCCUUCCCAGCUGUUUUUGUGUGGUUGGCAAAGGGCUAACAUCAGCCUUGGAAAAGGAAGGGCCUACAGCCGCUCUGACUCCACUCUGGGGCAGCUGGGCAAUAACGAAGCUGCAGGAUCCCCUUCUCAGGAGGAGCCAGGCUCAGCCUAUGUGUCCUUUGAGAAGGAAAGGGCACCCAGGAAGGGAAACCCCAAGGUUUAGAAAGUGUAGGAUUUGGGAGGCUGAGGUAACAGAGAGAACGAGAAUAUCCUCCCAUGUCUUAUUCUUGAGUUCAGGAGUUAAUAAACUACAUCCUGAAGCCAAAUCCAGCCCACUGUCUGUUUUUGUA
rnacentral:lncRNA from 1 species